AUUGAACGCUGGCGGCAUGCUUUACACAUGCAAGUCGAACGGUAACAGGCCGCAAGGUGCUGACGAGUGGCGAACGGGUGAGUAAUGCAUCGGAACGUGCCCAGUCGUGGGGGAUAACGCAGCGAAAGCUGUGCUAAUACCGCAUACGAUCUAUGGAUGAAAGCGGGGGACCGUAAGGCCUCGCGCGAUUGGAGCGGCCGAUGUCAGAUUAGGUAGUUGGUGGGGUAAAGGCUCACCAAGCCAACGAUCUGUAGCUGGUCUGAGAGGACGACCAGCCACACUGGGACUGAGACACGGCCCAGACGCGUACGGGAGGCAGCAGUGGGGAAUUUUGGGCAAUGGGCGCAAGCCUGAUCCAGCAAUGCCGCGUGCAGGAAGAAGGCCUUCGGGUUGUAAACUGCUUUUGUACGGAACGAAACGGCGAGCUCUAAUACAGUUUGCUAAUGACGGUACCGUAAGAAUAAGCACCGGCUAACUACGUGCCAGCCGCCGCGGUAA
rnacentral:rRNA from 1 species